AUGGCCACCGGCGGCGGCGGGGAGGGCGGCUCGCCCGCGGCGGAAGGAGGCGUCGGGGAAGCGGGGGCGGGGUCCGGCCGUGGGCCCGGCCGCAGGCUCUUCGUGGCGGUGCACGUGGGCGCGGGCUUCCACGCUCCGGCCAACGAGCGGGCCUACCGCCGGGCCAUCAGGCGCGCCUGCCUCGCCGCCGCCGCCGUCCUCCGCGAGGGCAGCGGCACAAGUCUUGAUGCCGUCGCAGCUGCCAUUCGAGUGCUGGAGGAUGACCCCAUCACAAACGCUGGCCGAGGUUCAAGUUUGACCGAGAGUGGUCAGGUUGAAUGCGAUGCGAGUAUCAUGGAUGGAACUACAGGUUCUUACGGAGCUGUCGGAGCUGUGCAAGGUGUAAAGAACCCCAUCCAAGUUGCAUUGCACUUGGCAAAGGAACAAAUGUCAGGUCCUUCACUGCUUGGUCGGAUACCCCCCAUGUUUUUGGUCGGUGAGGGAGCAUGCCAAUGGGCAAAAUGUAAAGGAAUCGACAUAAUCGAAGCCACGUCGGAGGAUAAUAAUUGGUUAGUGACUGAGAAUGCAAAAGCACAGUGGGUAAAAUACAGUGCGUUGCUUGCUAGUGCCAAGGAAUUGGUUAAUCGCUCCACUGCUUCUGCUUCAGAAUCUAGUUCAAUACAGUUGGACCCAUCAGGAGCUCAAGCUGAUAAUUUGAACAAUGCAAAAAAGAUCAAGAAAGAAUUCAGUAGAUCAAUCAUGCAAGAUGAUCAAGAUUGUGUAAUGGAUACUGUUGGUGCUGUAUGUGUUGAUGAGUAUGGAAAUGUAGCAUCUGGCGCGUCUAGUGGUGGCAUUGCACUAAAGGUAGAUGGCCGGGUUGGAUUAGCUGCUAUGUACGGCUCUGGGUGCUGGGCUUCAUCCAAAGGACCAUUUGGCACACCAUUCGUAAUUGGAUGUUGUGCAACCGGAGCUGGCGAACACUUAAUUAGAGGAUUUGCUUCCCGUGAAUGUUGUAUCUCAGCAUCACUGUCACAGUCUGGCCCUGCUUCCUCCUGCACCAAAGUUUUGCGCUCGGUGGUGCAGAGCAGCAGCGAGAUGUCUCACGACACCGGCGCUGGGCUCUUGCUAGUUCAGUCUGACCUUACAAAGAGAGGUGAAUCGCCUCUACUCGAAGCCGUUGAGCUCGUUGCUGCCUACUCAUCCCCAUCGUUCGGCAUCGGGUAUUUAGGGAGCAAUAUGAACAGUCCAAAGGUUUCUAUGCUUAGGGAUUCAAGAGCACCAUCGGGCUCCGUCCAGCAUUUCGCUGCCCGUGUGAAUUUCGGCGCACCAUCGAGCGAAGGAUGA
rnacentral:rRNA from 1 species